UACGUAGGGCGCGAGCGUUGUCCGGAAUCAUUGGGCGUAAAGCGCGUGUAGGCGGUUCAGUAAGUCUGCUGUGAAAGUCCAGGGCUCAACCCUGGGAUGCCGGUGGAUACUGCUGGGCUAGAGUGCGGAAGAGGCGAGUGGAAUUCCCGGUGUAGCGGUGAAAUGCGCAGAUAUCGGGAGGAACACCAAUUGCGAAGGCAGCUCGCUGGGACGUCACUGACGCUGAGACGCGAAAGCGUGGGGAGCAAACAGG
rnacentral:rRNA from 1 species